CCUACGGGUGGCUGCAGUGGGGAAUAUUGCACAAUGGGGGAAACCCUGAUGCAGCAACGCCGCGUGAAGGAAGACGGUUUUCGGAUUGUAAACUUCUAUCAACAGGGAAGAAAGAAAUGAUGGUACCCUAAUAAGAAGCCACGGCCAACUACGUGCCAGCAGCCGCGGUAAUACGUAGGGGGCAAGCGUUAUCCGGAAUUACUGGGUGUAAAGGGAGAGUAGGCGGCGAGGUAAGCGAUAUGUGAAAGCCUUAAGCUUAACUUAAGGAUGGCAUAACGAACUAUCUAGCUAGAGUACAGGAGAGGAAAGCGGAAUUCCUAGUGUAGCGGUGAAAUGCGUAGAUAUUAGGAAGAACACCAGUGGCGAAGGCGGCUUUCUGGACUGAAACUGACGCUGAGGCUCGAAAGCGUGGGGAGCGAACAGGAUUAGAUACCCCAGUAGUC
rnacentral:rRNA from 1 species